rnacentral:tRNA from 1 species
GCCUGGGUGGCUCAGUCGGUUAAGCGUCCGACUUUGGCUCAGGUCAUGAUCUCGUGGUUUGUGGGUUCGAGCCCCGCAUCGGGCU